UACGUAGGGUGCAAGCGUUGUCCGGAAUUAUUGGGCGUAAAGAGCUCGUAGGCGGUUCGGUAAGUCAGGUGUGAAAUCUCCACGCUCAACGUGGAGGCGCCACCUGAAACUGCCGUGACUCGAGUCCGGUAGGGGAGUGUGGAAUUCCUGGUGUAGCGGUGAAAUGCGCAGAUAUCAGGAGGAACACCGGUGGCGAAGGCGGUUCUCUGGGAAUAUCCUGACGCUGAGGAGCGAAAGUGUGGGGAGCGAACAGG
rnacentral:rRNA from 1 species